rnacentral:lncRNA from 1 species
GCAUUCUUUUUUUUGAGACGGAAUCUCGCUCUGUCGCCCAGGCUGUAGUGCAGUGGCGCGAUCUCGGCUCACUGCAACCUCCGCCUCCCGAGUUCAAGCGCUUCUCCUGCCUCAGUCUCCCCAGUAGCUGGGAUUACAGUCGGGCGUCACCACGCCCGGUGAUUUUUUGUGUUUAGUAGAGACGGGGUUUCACCGUGUUGGUCAGGCUAGUCUCGAACUCCUGACCUCAGAUGAUCCGCCUGGCUCAUUGCUGCAUUCUUAAACCCUCUUGGUAGCUUCGUUCUAAGUGCUUCCAAGAUAUGAGUGAAUGCUAUAGAAAUUGCAGGGGAGUCCAAAGGGCUGCGCUUCUCCCGUGGCUCAGUCUUAUUUCAUACCUGCGACAUCUUUUAAGAGAGGUCUACCAGAGGGGAAUCGUGUCAUGAAAACCGUUGUGAUCCACCUUGAAUUUUCGGAGAAUCUUCAUUCGCAUCAUUGAAGAGCAAAUUUGUUGCAAUAAGAAAUAUUUUUUGGCUUAUCUUGGUUGUUCAGCCAAAUUAGUUUUUGGAAUUAAAAUUGAUACCGGCAACCUAAUGAUUACAGUGAAUUACUUAGCUGCAGCAGUAACUUUAGG